rnacentral:rRNA from 1 species
GGUGCAUGGUUGUCGUCAGCUCGUGUCGUGAGAUGUUGGGUUAAGUCCCGCAACGAGCGCAACCCUUAUUGUUAGUUGCCAUCAUUNAGUUGGGCACUCUAGCAAGACUGCCGGUGACAAACCGGAGGAAGGUGGGGAUGACGUCAAAUCAUCAUGCCCCUUAUGACCUGGGCUACACACGUGCUACAAUGGGAAGUACAACGAGUUGCG